GACAGAGGUGCCAAGCGUUAGGCGGAAUCACUGGGCUUAAAGCGUGUGUAGGCGGAAUGGUAAGUACCUUGUGAAAUCCCACGGCUCAACCGUGGAACUGCUGGGUAUACUGCUUUUUCUUGAGCCACUUAGGGGGCUGUCGAAAACAAAACGGUGGAGCGGUGAAAAUGCGUAGAUAUCGUUUUGGAACGCCAAUGGUGAAA
rnacentral:rRNA from 1 species